rnacentral:rRNA from 1 species
GACGAACGCUGGCGGCGUGCCUAAUACAUGCAAGUUGAGCGCUGAAGGUUGGUACUUGUACCAACUGGAUGAGCAGCGAACGGGUGAGUAACGCGUGGGGAAUCUGCCUUUGAGCGGGGGACAACAUUUGGAAACGAAUGCUAAUACCGCAUAAAAACUUUAAACACAAGUUUUAAGUUUGAAAGAUGCAAUUGCAUCACUCAAAGAUGAUCCCGCGUUGUAUUAGCUAGUUGGUGAGGUAAAGGCUCACCAAGGCGAUGAUACAUAGCCGACCUGAGAGGGUGAUCGGACACAUUGGGACUGAGACACGGCCCAAACUCCUACGGGAGGCAGCAGUAGGGAAUCUUCGGAAAUGGACGAAAGUCUGACCGAGCAACGCCGCGUGAGUGAAGAAGGUUAUCGGAUCGUAAAACUCUGUUGGUAGAGAAGAACGAUGGUGAGAGUGGAAAGCUCAUCAAGUGACGGUAACUACCCAGAAAGGGACGGCUAACUACGUG